CGGCCACUGGCGCCUCGCGCGGCGCCUACGUCAUGGCGUCGCGCACGCGCGCAGGAGACCCGGGCGGCGCCACCGCGCGGCCUUCUGGGACUCGUAGUUCUAGCGCUGGGCGGAGGCCUCGCCAUCCCCGCACCUCAAGCCCUGAAGGAGGCCCCGAGGACCAAGAGAGAGACCUACAUGAGAGCAUCCGCUUAGAACGGUGAUGCUCCCCUAGCAUCCCAAGCCGUCACUGUCCUUCCGAGGGUCUUAGCCUCGGGAGCCAUACAAGGUGCCAAGUCCCAGGAGCUGCUGGAACAUGAAGACUAUCAGAUGAUUCUUAAGCAGCUCAUGGAAGAGGGGACAGAUUAAUAGCCCAUCCUCCUCCUGACCACCAUCAGUCCAUUAUUUUUUGUGUGUGGAAUUUUUUUAAUUGAAGUAUAGUUGAUUUACAAUGUUGGGUUAUUAAUAGCUUCAAGUG
ensembl:lncRNA